rnacentral:rRNA from 1 species
UACGUAGGGGGCAAGCGUUGUCCGGAAUUAUUGGGCGUAAAGAGCGUGUAGGCGGCCAGAUAAGUCCGCUGUGAAAUCUCGAGGCUCAACUUCGAGCUGUCGGUGGAAACUAUCUGGCUAGAGUCCGGAAGAGGAGAAUGGAAUUCCUGGUGUAGCGGUGAAAUGCGCAGAUAUCAGGAGGAACACCAAUGGCGAAGGCAGCUCGCUGGGACGUGACUGACGCUGAGACGCGAAAGCGUGGGGAGCAAACAGG